rnacentral:misc_RNA from 1 species
AAGUCGUAACAAGGUUUCCGUAGGUGAACCUGCGGAAGGAUCAUUAACACGUAUCCAACGUUAAACCCCCCGUGAACUUUUAUUGCGAACCACGCCUUGUUAAAAAGUAGCAGUCCCUGGUAAAUCAUCGCCGAACAGUUUUGAUUCAGGGAUCUCUGCGAAGAGAGCGGUUGUAGCGCGAGGUAAGUGGCCUCAUUCCUCUGCUUGUUAGUGUCUGACAGUGUCACUAGCUCUGUACGAAUGGCGCAGUCACGAUCGCUAGAGGCCGACACGGCCGGCGACCGGGUCACCGGGCAUAGACCCCCCUAUCACCUUUGCAUGAAAACGGGCCUGCGCUUAAUUGUGCGGCCACCAAACUCGAACAACUGUUGGCGAUGGAUAUCUUGGUUCUC